rnacentral:lncRNA from 14 species
CCUGCGCUGUGCUGGGUGGUGGCAGGUGCAGGUUGGUGUGCCAGCACAGGCACAUUGCUCUUUCCUUUGCACUGGAGUGUCUGGAGUGCAAGAACGUCUCGGACAUGUAUGAACUGUUCCUGGACCUGGCACUGGAGAUCUGGCAAGCCAGAGACCUACGGUAAGCACUGGAGCUGUUUGUGAAGCCAGACCUGUUGUGUGGGAGAACUACCUGUGUGCAGGAUGCAACAACAGUGUCGGCAGCAAAUGCUUCAGCAUCCACUGAGCUUCUGAUGUUCACAUGCUCUCAAUUAAGUGAUUCUCCUUCUAUGAAGAGCGGAAAAUCAGCAAACCUGUGGCAUACCCAGAGGUCCUGAACAUCCACC